CUAAUACAUGCAGUCGAGCGAACAGAUGAGAAGCUUGCUUCUCUGAUGUUAGCGGCGGACGGGUGAGUAACACGUGGGUAACCUACCUAUAAGACUGGGAUAACUCCGGGAAACCGGGGCUAAUACCGGAUAAUAUUUUGAACCGCAUGGUUCAAUAGUGAAAGACGGUUUCGGCUGUCACUUAUAGAUGGACCCGCGCCGUAUUAGCUAGUUGGUAAGGUAAUGGCUUACCAAGGCGACGAUACGUAGCCGACCUGAGAGGGUGAUCGGCCACACUGGAACUGAGACACGGUCCAGACUCCUACGGGAGGCAGCAGUAGGGAAUCUUCCGCAAUGGGCGAAAGCCUGACGGAGCAACGCCGCGUGAGUGAUGAAGGUCUUCGGAUCGUAAAACUCUGUUGUUAGGGAAGAACAAAUUUGUUAGUAACUGAACAAGUCUUGACGGUACCUAACCAGAAAGCCACGGCUAACUACGUGCCAGCAGCCGCGGUAAUACGUAGGUGGCAAGCGUUAUCCGGAAUUAUUGGGCGUAAAGCGCGCGUAGGCGGUUUCUUAAGUCUGAUGUGAAAGCCCACGGCUCAACCGUGGAGGGUCAUUGGAAACUGGGAAACUUGAGUGCAGAAGAGGAGAGUGGAAUUCCAUGUGUAGCGGUGAAAUGCGCAGAGAUAUGGAGGAACACCAGUGGCGAAGGCGGCUCUCUGGUCUGUAACUGACGCUGAUGUGCGAAAGCGUGGGGAUCAAACAGGAUUAGAUACCCUGGUAGUCCACGCCGUAAACGAUGAGUGCUAAGUGUUAGGGGGUUUCCGCCCCUUAGUGCUGCAGCUAACGCAUUAAGCACUCCGCCUGGGGAGUACGACCGCAAGGUUGAAACUCAAAGGAAUUGACGGGGACCCGCACAAGCGGUGGAGCAUGUGGUUUAAUUCGAAGCAACGCGAAGAACCUUACCAAAUCUUGACAUCCUUUGACCGCUCUAGAGAUAGAGUCUUCCCCUUCGGGGGACAAAGUGACAGGUGGUGCAUGGUUGUCGUCAGCUCGUGUCGUGAGAUGUUGGGUUAAGUCCCGCAACGAGCGCAACCCUUAAGCUUAGUUGCCAUCAUUAAGUUGGGCACUCUAGGUUGACUGCCGGUGACAAACCGGAGGAAGGUGGGGAUGACGUCAAAUCAUCAUGCCCCUUAUGAUUUGGGCUACACACGUGCUACAAUGGAUAAUACAAAGGGCAGCGAAUCCGCGAGGCCAAGCAAAUCCCAUAAAAUUAUUCUCAGUUCGGAUUGUAGUCUGCAACUCGACUACAUGAAGCUGGAAUCGCUAGUAAUCGUAGAUCAGCAUGCUACGGUGAAUACGUUCCCGGGUCUUGUACACACCGCCCGUCACACCACGAGAGUUUGUAACACCCGAAGCCGGUGGAGUAACCUUUUAGGAGCUAGCCGUCGAA
rnacentral:rRNA from 1 species